GACGAACGCUGGCGGCGUGCUUAACACAUGCAAGUCGAACGGAAAGGCCCUGCUUUUGUGGGGUGCUCGAGUGGCGAACGGGUGAGUAACACGUGAGUAACCUGCCCUUUACUUUGGGAUAACUUCAGGAAACUUGGGCUAAUACCGGAUAGGAGCUCCUGCUUCAUGGUGGGGGUUGGAAAGUUUCGGCGGUUGGGGAUGGACUCGCGGCUUAUCAGCUUGUUGGUGGGGUAGUGGCUUACCAAGGCUUUGACGGGUAGCCGGCCUGAGAGGGUGACCGGCCACAUUGGGACUGAGAUACGGCCCAGACUCCUACGGGAGGCAGCAGUGGGGAAUAUUGCACAAUGGGCGGAAGCCUGAUGCAGCAACGCCGCGUGCGGGAUGACGGCCUUCGGGUUGUAAACCGCUUUCGCCUGUGACGAAGCGUGAGUGACGGUAAUGGGUAAAGAAGCACCGGCUAACUACGUG
rnacentral:rRNA from 1 species